GUGGAAGGCAUUUCGGUAUUGUUGCGCAACCAAUUUCAAGUGCAGCCAAUCUCAGCACUAAACGCUGCGUUUAAGUGCGACCUAAAUAUCCUUUCUGCGACGCUGUCGGGAAAUUAUAAUGACUUGGGCAUUGUUAACAGGCUUGGUGUUGUUCAGCGACGGCGGACCCAGGAACGGCACUUGGCCUCGUUUCGCAGGAGACUGACAGGAAAGUUAGACCCUUCCACGUUUCUGCCUCUUCCAGCAGACACUCACCUCUCCGGAGAAUGCAAACUACACAGCUGCCAUUUUCUCUAUGCUAAUAUCAUUCAAAACGUUCAUUUUCUCAUGAACCAUCUUUCUAGCUACACUACUAUACUGUCCAUCUCAUACUUUCUCUCCUUCGGCACAUUUACUCCGUCUGUCAAUUGCAAGUUAUUGAUGUAUUGUUGCUCACUAUGUAACUAUUUAUCCAGUUCUUUGUCUUCUUCUAAUUGUUUUAUGCUAUAACUUUUGAUUGUUUUACAAUUUUACCUUUUUUUGUUCUUGUUCUUCUGUGCACCAACACUCAGACCUCAGUGUCACUCCUGGUCACAUUGAAUAAAUUACUGACUGAUACUGAA